UAUGUUUUGGUGUAUGAUGCACAAAAGUUUUUGAUACUUUUAGAAAUAGUUUAAUUCUAUUAAAUAUAA
rnacentral:tRNA from 3 species